rnacentral:rRNA from 1 species
CCUACGUGUGGCAGCAGUGGGGAAUAUUGGACAAUGGGGGCAACCCUGAUCCAGCAAUUCUGUGUGCACGAAGACGGUUUUCGGAUUGUAAAGUGCUUUCAGCAGGGAAGAAGUGAGUGACGGUACCUGCAGAAGAAGCGACGGCUAAAUACGUGCCAGCAGCCGCGGUAAUACGUAUGUCGCGAGCGUUAUCCGGAAUUAUUGGGCAUAAAGGGCAUCUAGGCGGCCUGACAAGUCAGGGGUGAAAACCUGUGGCUCAACCGCAGGCCUGCCUUUGAAACUGACAGGCUGGAGUACCGGAGAGGUGGACGGAACUGCAAGAGUAGAAGUGAAAUUCGUAGAUAUGUGCAGGAAUGCCGAUGAUGAAGAUAGUUCACUGGACGGUAACUGACGCUGAAGUGCGAAAGCCGGGGGAGCGAACAGGAUUAGAUACCCGGGUAGUC